UUAUAGCAAAUAUGAAGUUCUUGUUUUUUAAUGUCAAAGUAUUCAAGUGAGUUUCCCUAAUAAUUUUACCCAGAUGAAUUGGCUGUAAGUGAUGCUGAGGCCAAUGACGGGAGCGACUCUGAAGGCAGUGACACCGCAGACCUGCCGACUGAGUUUGGGACAAGUGAGCCUGAGCCAGUGAAGACAGGAAGUGAUCGUCCCGCCUCCCAGGCAAACCCUCCAUGUCAUCAAGGAGAGCCAGCGGUGAGACACCAGACUGCACUAAAAGUGAAGACAGGAAGUGAUCGUCCCGCCUCCCAGGCAAACCCUCCAUGUCAUCAAGGAGAGCCAGCGGAAAAGAUUCUGGCAAAGAACAUGGGUCCUGGAGAGCGGCAAAGAAGGUGUGGUCGAAGGACCCCAACACCAGGGAGAAGACUCGGGCCCUUUCGUGGCAUUGCUGCAUCCGACAGCAGACCGGCCCCCCAGGAAGGAUCUGACCAACGUCAUGGGGAAUGUGAGGGUCCAGACAUGCCCCCCAGAAAGGCCCUGGCCCAGGUCAUGGGAACCUGAGGUUCCAGGUGAAGGGACUCAGAAAGCAGAGGGUUGAACCAGCAACCACCUCCCGGCUUGAAGAGAAGCCUUUGUACAGGCCCCCAAGAAAGGACCUAUCCCAGGUCAUGGGGAACGUGAGGAUCCGGGUGAAGGGACUCAGAAAGCAGAGGGUUGAAACACUUACCACCGCCCUGCCGGAUCUGGAGGAGGUGAAGCCUUUGGACCGCCUUUCACCCCGGAACCC
ensembl:lncRNA